rnacentral:rRNA from 1 species
UACGGAGGGUGCAAGCGUUAUCCGGAUUCACUGGGUUUAAAGGGUGCGUAGGCGGGUUGGUAAGUCCGUGGUGAAAUCUCCAAGCUUAACUUGGAAACUGCCGUGGAUACUAUCAAUCUUGAAUAUCGUGGAGGUAAGCGGAAUAUGUCAUGUAGCGGUGAAAUGCUUAGAUAUGACAUAGAACACCAAUUGCGUAGGCAGCUUACUACACGAUCAUUGACGCUGAGGCACGGAAGCGUGGGGAGCAAACAGG